rnacentral:rRNA from 1 species
GAUGAACGCUGGCGGCGUGCCUAAUACAUGCAAGUCGAGCGGACCAAAGAGAGCUUGCUCUCUGAGGUUAGCGGCGGACGGGUGAGUAACACGUGGGUAACCUGCCUGUAAGACGGGGAUAACUUCGGGAAACCGAAGCUAAUACCGGAUGAUAAAGAGAAACGCCUGUUUCUUUUUUGAAAGUCGGCCUUGUGCUGACGCUUACAGAUGGGCCCGCGGCGCAUUAGCUAGUUGGUGAGGUAACGGCUCACCAAGGCGACGAUGCGUAGCCGACCGGAGGGGGUGAUCGGCCACACUGGGACUGAGACACGGCCCAGACUCCGACGGGAGGCAGCAGUAGGGAAUCUUCGGCAAUGGACGAGAGUCUGACCGAGCAACGCCGCGUGAGCGAUGAAGGCCUUCGGGUCGUAAAGCUCUGUUGUCAGAGAAGAACAAGUACCGGAGUAACUGCCGGUACCUUGACGGUACCUGACCAGAAAGCCACGGCUAACUACGUGCCAGCAGCCGCGGUAAGAC